GCUGGUGUGAGCUGUUUGGCCACCGGAGCCAAUCGAAAGCUGGGGCUUGAUCCUCUCCUCGGGCAGUGCCUGCGCCGAGUCAGUGCCGAGCUCCCCUCCGCCGCCGGGACCCGCCGAAGCCGCCGAGCUCCCUCCACGCACCGCGCUACCCCCCCCCCCCCCCCCCGCCAAAACUGAGCGCCUAUGGGCAUCUGCAGCCGGCGAGGGCUUCGCACCACCGCCACCAGCGGCAGCGGCAGCGGGCGACGACCGCCGCCCCGCUUCAUCACCUCUUGGGAUCUAUAGCUGGCAGGACGGAGGGCGCUGCGGACCCUUCCCCGCCUCCGCGCAGGUUUGCUUCAUUUUGUGAUGCACUAAUUGUAUGGGUAUGUAGCAUCUUCACACAAAGGAAGAAGAGCCACCUUGCCACAAUCUUCGGUGCUAGGUUCUGGAUCAGGUGUGGAGAAUCCAGCCAGAACCAUAGUCCUAACACCAAGCCAUUUAGCUAUAAGGACCAUGCAUCUCAUAGAGGAAGCAGACGCAUGCAGGUCUGUCAGUCAACGCCACCUUUAUCAGCCACACCCUUCCAGUUACAUUAGCCUCCUCCACCCUGAAACAGGUCAGGUACAGGGUUUUCUCUGUGCCAUUACUUUACCUGAAAGCGGAGGUGCACUAUUCUACAGUCAAGACCUUCCCUGCCGUUAUUAAGAAACAUGUGGACUCAUUCCACUCCACAGUGCACCUAUAUGAUGCGUGGUUCCUUGUCACUUUUCUUUCUGGGUAUUAAAACUGGAUCUGCCCACCUGACUCCGAAGGCUGAACUUUCAAAUCCAAGUCGGUUCAUCUGUUUAUCGUGCAUCACACCAGUUCCCCAGUCCUUUAUUUGACUGACAGCUCAGCUCUGAGACUGUGUUUAGCUCCAUAGUUUCAGUCAUUGUCAAAACUGCCGAAUGAAGGUCUCGCCUUCCAAGUGGUGAGGAGUUACUUCUUUAGGUCCCAUUACUAGCUUUGCCUCUGAUUUACUAGUCCAGUGGCACACUACUGAAUCUCCUUUCAUUCUGUGAAGGGAGGCUGAAGAAACCAGCUUGUGUGUGUUUUUAAUUACACGUUUGUUCAGCCCUCUGAGGAUGUCAGGAGCUGUGAACAGUAUAUGCCAAGUGAUUGCCAGGAAGAAAGCUGCUGACUGCAGUGCAUCAUAGACAGAACCCUUCUGUGUAACUGCCACUGCCUUGCCAUGCACAUACCAAUGAUAUCUGAUUUUGAUUAUAGUCUCUCCUCUGAUGAUAGUGCUGUCUCGGGUUCUCCUGGAGACAAAGUCUUGGUCAAGUGAAAACAUAAGCAAUGGUGUAGUCAAGGACAAAGUCAGUCUCCCCCGGAUUCCAGUCUAUUGACUCUUCUUUCUUCCUCAUUUGGAGUGAACUGAAAGGCUAACAAUCCUCCUUUAAAUGAGCAUAACUUGCUGUAUUAUGUUAGUCUAGACAAAGAAAAUCAAAUUAAUUAGCAGAAAGACUGCAAAUGUGCUGUGUAGGAGGACCUGUCAUUAGAGUACCUCAUCCAGGCUCCUGUGGCUUGGUGUGUAUUCAGAAUGAUAGCUCUGGUCUUCCUCUGAGCAAAAGAGAAAUAGAAUAAUACUAGGCUUCGAUUAGAGACAGAACUGUAAUUCAGUCAUGGGCAAGGAGAGGGGGAGGUGAGUAGGAAGACGGCUGCUCUGCAAAGCCUAAGUCAUAAAACAUAAAAUCCCAGUUUAUGCAUGGCAACAGAUCCUUCUAUCAUUGAAUUACAGCCUUCAUAUUCAAUAAUGGGCCAAGUCUGUAAACCAGAAUACAGACAGAACAAAUAUUUACAUUCUUUGGGCAAUGACGGAGGGAGAAUCACUGAGCAGAGCAUGAAUCAAAGCCACAAGAACAUAGAUGUGGGACAGCCACGUGUUGCCAUCAGUGUGAUGUGGGAGGGAUGGAGUAAGUUUCCAGUAUUUGGAUGUGAAAUUUCCUGUAGUACAGGUCAUCCUGCAGCAUUUCACUGAAAAUUCAUCUUUUACUUAAGUGACACAUACUGCCAAUAACAGUGAGUAAACUAGUUUGUCCAUUCAUUCCGUGUGCUAUACAUUUUCCAGUAUAUCUAGAAAGUGAUAUUGAAAUGUUUAGGUAUUUAGCAAUGUUUAUGUUGAUAUUGCAUAUCUAAUUACAAUUUUAUUUGUAUUCCUGACUUUAUAGCACCUCGUAAGUUCUGUACUUUUGACAGUUGUUGAGCAUCAGCUGCUGUGAUUUAUUUUGGUCCAGCUGACAGCUAUGACAGUCAUAAACAUUACUGUCAAUUAGGAACUAUCAAUAGACAUGUAGUGAAAUAAAUGAAAAUUCCUUUUGUUAUCUUACAAAAAACUUGAAAGUAAGGGUCAGAAUAGUUCCAAACUCAAGAACUUGCAUCAAGAAGUCAACUGAUGCAUGUACAUACUUACUAGGGUAGCCAAGAAGUCAUAUAACUCUGAAGGUUUUGAACUCCAAAUGUCAUCUUUGUUUAUAGGCUUGCAAAUGCACAUAUACAAACAACCAUCAGAGCAUGCGGUUGCUGUGCUUCUCAGCCCUCACAGGUUUGAAUUGCAUUUCAGUUGCAUACCUGAAUUUUCUCAUAUGAGACCUUGAGUGAACGGGCUUCCUUUCAGAGCAAAGCCCACAGCUGAGUUAAACAUUUGAAACAAAAGUAAUUAAAUGGGGAUUCUGAUGGACCGUUGGUUAAUCCAUGAAAAGUAACUGCAAAAGUAAGCCAAGGAGAAGCCUGGUGUUCUUAGGGAAAGAAGAAAACAUCUUGUAACUCUCCAAGUAUGUUUGUGAACAAAAGGGGAUACAAAAUAUUACAGGAUCAACCCAAGGGUAAUACAUAUGUAAUACAAUGGUGUGCAGCAGUGACUCAUUACUGCCUGGCUUCCAUCUACACGUAAUGCAAAUAAGUUUUUUUGACUCUUGUGCCAGCUUACACCCUGAGCAAGAGAAUGUAUUAAAAACUUUGAGGUGACCAACUGUUGUUUCUAGGUGUCUUGUAUUACACGUGAAUGUUAGAGCUCAUGAACUCUGAUUUUCUAUGGCUGUGUUCGAUGUGCCAGUCCACCACAGUAACCCUAAACAUCCUCUUUACGACUCACGCCUCCUGUGGUACCAAACUGUGAUGUCCUUGACUUGUCCUCCCCCCUUCCCCUUCCCUGAGAUACUUUUCAUGCCUUCCUGUAUACCCUAGGAGAAAACACACUUAGUGUAAUGCAAUAGGAGUUUCAAAACUGCCUUGCUGUCCAACUUGUUUGAAAUUUGGUCAGUGGAUUAAAAAAUAGAAUUGUGAGGAACUGUCAGAUGUGUAAUUGCAUGUUGCUUAUUAACCAAAGAAAAGGCAAAAAAGGAUGAGAGGAUUCCCUAGAUUUAGCCUCACUGAGGACAAAAGUGCUUUUCUGUGAAACUA